AAGCCCAAGCAAUCACAGGGACAGGCCAUGGGGCGCAUUCGCCAGCUGUGUUGUAAAUGUCUGCACUCCAGGUUGAAUUUUUAUGUACUUGGAAUCACGUUGGAACCCAAACUCCGACAAUUUGAACUAAAAUAAAAGGGCCUGAUCACAAUGAGUAAUCUGAAGAAUCUGAGUUCUUGGAAGCGUAAAGAUGGCAAUCACAGC